ACCUGGUUGAUCCUGCCAGUAGUCAUAUGCUUGUCUCAAAGAUUAAGCCAUGCAUGUCUAAGUUCACGUCACGAUAAAGAAUGGUCGAAACCGCGAAUGGCUCAGGAACCGGAUCUAAUCCUCGGGAUCGUAUUUAUAUAUAUGUUUUCUACCAGGAAAGUAAAAAGUAAAGUGGAUAACUGUGGCAAUUCUAGAGCUAAUACAUGCAACUAAAGCCAUGAUCGUCGGACGGUAGGUAAUGUUGUUCGGUUAAUGCAUCGAUUCUUCGUGGUCGUUGCGCGUUCGUUUCGUUCGUCGGCUUCCUCGUUGUUCGUGUAGCUACUCGCAAUUUAUUACUCCGUCCGUAUGUGAUCGCGGCGCAACAUAUUAGACUGAGACCGAUGCGUUUUGCAGUUCGUCGUUGUCGUCGUYGUCGUCGUCGUCGUCGUCGUUUCUGCGCGCUCGCUUCUUUUUUGGUGACUCUGGAUAACACAAUUGUCGAUCGCUAUGGAUGAUGUUUGUUCGUCAAACAUUAACCGGCGACGGAUCCCUCGUGGGUCCGCCCUAUCAACUGUCGACGGUCGGUUAAGUGCCUACCGUGGUUGCCACGGGUAACGGGGAAUCAGGGUUCGAUUCCGGAGAGGGAGCAUGCGAAACGGCUACCACAUCCAAGGAAGGCAGCAGGCGCGCAAAUUACCCACUCCCGGCACGGGGAGGUAGUGACGAAAAAUAACGACGCGGGACUCUGUCGAGGCCCCGCGAUCGGAAUGAAUACACCUCAAAUCCGUUAAUGAGGAUCGACCGGAGGGCAAGUCUGGUGCCAGCAGCCGCGGUAAUUCCAGCUCCGGUAGCGUAUAUUAAAUUUGUUGCGGUUAAAAAGCUCGUAGUCCGAAUUCGGGUCUAAAGAAAAAAAAACGUUUUUGCGAAACAAAAACGUUCGGGGCGUCGGCGCCAUUGUUCGUCAUUCGAAAUUUUGGUUGAAUUUUUUAAAAAAAUUUCCGUUCGCACACCCGGCCCUAUCCGCCGGUACGUAUGAGGGAAGGUAAAUUCGUGUGGUCGUGGUUGACAAACGAUUUCGUAGUAGUAGUUGGCGUCGUGUCGUCGUYUUUUGUUUUGUCACGUCUUUUCGGUGGUGGUUUUGUUACAAUGAUAAUUGGUGUGUAAACAAAAAAAGUUAGAUACCUUCGGUUUCGUUUCUUUGAUACACGUUAUUUUUUCCUUUAUACACAUGUCGCCGUCGUCGUCGACUACAACACUUCUUCGUCGUCACAUCUACGUCUUCUUCUUUUCUGCAAUCUCCAAAAGCGUCGCCGCGAUACCGUUUACUAAACGAGUUCGCGUCGUGUCCCUUGUUCGAUUCCUCCGAGGGUGCUCUUCACCGAGUGUCCGAGGCGGCCGGUAUGUUCACUUUGAAAAAAUUAGUGUGCUCAGAGCGAGCUCCGUUAAGCUUGCAUACGAUAAGCAUGGAAUGAUAGAAAAGGGCCUCGUCCACGUCUGUCGGUCUCCGUUUAAGACGAGGCAAUGAUCGAAGGGAGCGGUUCGGGGCCACUCGUAUUGCGACGUUAGAGGUGAAAUUCUUGGAUCGUCGCAAGACGUACUGCAGCGAUGGCGUGUGGCAAGGACGUUUUCCUCGAUCAAGAGCGAAAGUCGGAGGUUCGAAGACGAUCAGAUACCGUCGUAGUUCCGACUGUAAACGAUGCCGACUGGCGAUACGCCGGCGUUCGCUUCGAUGACCCGGCGGGUAGCCUGCGGGAAACCAGAGUUGGUUCCGGGGGGAGUAUGGUUGCAAAAUCGAAACUUAAAGGAAUUGACGGAAGGGCACCACCAGGAGUGGAGCCUGCGGCUUAAUUUGACUCAACACGGGAAAACUCACCCGGUCCGGACACCGGUAGGAUUGACAGAUCGAUAGCUCUUUCUCGAUUCGAUGGAUGGUGGUGCAUGGCCGUUCUUAGUUGGUGGAGCGAUCCGUCUGGUUGAUUCCGAUAACGAACGAGUCUCCAGCCUGCUAACUAGCGCGUCGAUUAGUGCUAGUUUAUGUAUACAUAUAUACAUCAAUCAUGUAUUGUGUGUGUGUAUUGGUCAGUCGAUUGCAAAGCGCUUCUUAGAGGGACGGGUGGCGGAAAGCCACACGAGGCGGAGCGAUAACAGGUCUGUGAUGCCCUUAGAUGUCCGGGGCUGCACGCGCGCUACACUGGAGGUAUCAGCGGGGACUCAUCCCCUGGCCCGAGAGGGUUGGGAAACCUCUGAACCACCUUCCGUGAUAGGGAUCGGGGCUUGUAAGCAACCCCGUGAACGAGGAAUUCCCGGUAGGCGCGGGUCAUCAACCCGCGUCGAUCACGUCCCUGCCCUUUGUACACACCGCCCGUCGCUACUACCGAUCGAACGGUCCGGUGAGGUCCUCGGAUCUGGCCGAUGACGGUAACAUUGUUAACGUCUUUGAUGGAGGAAAAAACACUUUUAUUUUAUCGAGUUGUUGACGUUGUCGUUUGAUGGCCCGGAGAAGACGACCGAACCCGAUCGUUUAGAGGAAGUAAAAGUCGUAACAAGGUUUCCGUAGGUGAACCUGCGGAAGGAUCAUUA
rnacentral:rRNA from 1 species